rnacentral:rRNA from 1 species
UACGAAGGGGGCUAGCGUUGCUCGGAUUUACUGGGCGUAAAGGGCGCGUAGGCGGAUUGACAAGUUGGGGGUGAAAGCCCGGGGCUCAACCUCGGAAUUGCCUUCAAAACUGCCAGUCUUGAGUUUGGGAGAGGUGUGUGGAACUCCGAGUGUAGAGGUGAAAUUCGUAGAUAUUCGGAAGAACACCAGUGGCGAAGGCGACUCACUGGACAUGUAUUGACGCUGAGGUGCGAAAGCGUGGGGAGCAAACAGG